rnacentral:rRNA from 1 species
CCUACGGGGGGCAGCAGUAGGGAAUAUUGCUCAAUGGGGGAAACCCUGAAGCAGCAACGCCGCGUGAAGGAUGACGGUUUUAGGAUUGUAAACCUCUUUCGUUAGAGAAGAUUAUGACGGUAUCUGAGGAAUAAGCACCGGCUAACUACGUGCCAGCAGCCGCGGUAAUACGGAGGGUGCGAGCGUUAUCCGGAUUUACUGGGCGUAAAGGGUGCGUAGGCGGGGUAUUAAGUCAGUAGUGAAAUCCUGUGGCUUAACUACAGAACUGCAUUUGAAACUGUUACUCUGGAGUGUAGUAGAGGUAGGUGGAAUUCUUGGUGUAGCGGUGAAAUGCGUAGAGAUCAAGAGGAAUACUAGUUGCGAAGGCGACCUACUGGACCAUUACUGACGCUGAUGCACGAAAGCGUGGGGAGCAAACAGGAUUAGAUACCCCUGUAGUC